GGCCUCUACAAGUGUGACAUCAGCGGUCAUGGAGAGUCUCCAUCCAGCUGGAUCACUGUCACAGAUAAAAUUUAGCUUUCUUUCAAAAAUAUCAAACCCAAAGUGAUUCAAACUGGCCACAAAGAUUUGCGUUUCUCUUCACUUACAGGUUCGUCCAACUCUGCGCUUCCAUCAGCCUCCAGUACCUCCAUCCACUUCUCCUCGUUUUCCUCUCCUCCUCCUCAACGAUCCUCUCCUCCUCUCUCUGUGAUUGUGUCUAUUCCCUCCAUAUUUGGGCUGCUGCUGGUUGUACCGGUUGUACUGGUGAGACGCUGUGUUCGGAGGAAAGCUGAAGAUAGAGAUCGUCCAGCAGCUGCCAUCUACUCAUCAGUGACAAGAACAGUAGCAGACGACCGAUACGGGUCAAAGAGGACGAAAGAGACUGAUCCACCUGCAGUUUAUUCAUCAACAGCUGACGUCAGUUAUGGAGAAAUCACCAUCAGGACAAACAGCAGGCACAGAGAUCUUCCACCAGAGCCAGCGGUCAUCUACUCCUCACCGAAGCCGAGCCCCACACCUUCACCACAAUUUAACUAGUGUGACCAGUGAAGUCUAGCUGGCUGCCAAACACAUCCCUGCUCCCCUCUCUAUAUUAUUUAUUUAAUCAUAUUCUCUGUGUGUUUAGUCAUACAGCUGCACUGAACCAAUGAUGAAGUGGAAAUAAAACAUUUUUUAUAUUAAGCGGUUCCCCCCAUGCUGAUGCAACAUCAGAGAUUCAAAAAGUCUCUUACCUGAAGCAGAAUGAACAAAGUUCAGUCUGAAAGUCUGCAGAGCUCAUUUCUGUAAACAGCUGCAGCACAUUAGCAUACACCACUCUUUUAUUUUAUUCUUUAGCUGAUCUGAACCUCACCAAGAAUCAUUAAGGAGUGUAGGAAUGUCAUUUCUACUUUAACAGACUGAGCAUCCUCUCUGCUGAAAUGCAAACAGGAGAGGUAGCAGGUAUCUUGUCCCCAAAGCAUAAUUUCAAACUGGUGCUAAUGAAAUAUGCAAUGUGACAUAACUGCAUCAAAACUACCGCUGGACUUUAUCAUUAGAGGCACUGUCGCAAAGCAACAAUCACACAAUGUUUUGCUACACGUGCACCAGAGUUCAUGACAUGCUUCGAUUUUUGGGCCACUUUUAAAUAAACUUACGACAUGGUGCAGUGUGACAGACAUCAGUUCCCUCAGCUGAUAUCUUUCUAACAGAAGCAGUGACAUGCACAGACUGAUCCUGAUGAAAAACUUGUAGAUUUAGUUAUUAUUUUCAAGUUGGGCACCUAGUUGUUUUUCUUUUCUCUUUAUUCAUGCUCAUAAUAAGUCUUCAGUCUGUGCUGUAAAUAUGUUGCACUGCUGUGAAGAAACACAUUGUCAGACUGGGCUCCCGACUGUUUAACUGAAAUUAAACCUCCACCUCUCAGCUGCUACAUGUCUCUUCUAAUGGAAAAUCUGCUGAGCGUCAUGUUAACAAAUGAUAGCCGUACAGUAACUGUUAUGCUUAUUGUAGCUGUUAGCUAAAAAAAGCUAAUUUAGCGUA